rnacentral:tRNA from 1 species
GCCAGUGUGGUGUAGUGGUUUGAGUGUUGGGCUACAACUCUGGAGGCCAGGGUUCGAAUCCUAGCUAAGCCA